GGAGACUGAUUUGGAAGCAGAACUCCGACAUGAAGCAAGCGAGGGCGAGAAUACGGCAACGGGGACACAACAGCACGAGCAGGUUCAACGCUUUAUCGAACAACACCGAAGGAAGGAAGAAACAAAUGCUACGACUGGAAAAUUGAUGGAGGGCAAAGAUGAAGACACGGGAAUGUGGU